UGUGUGUGUGUGUGUGUGUGUGUGUGUGUGUGUGUGUGUGUGUGUGUGUGUGUGUGUGUGUGUGUGUGUGUGUGUGUGUGUGUGUGUGUGUGUGUGUGUGUGUGUGUGUGUGUGUGUGUGAGUGUGUGUGAGUGUGUGUGUGUGUGUGUGUGUGUGUGUGUGUGUGUGUGUAAGUGUGUGUGAGUGUAUGUGUGUGUGUGUGUGUGUGUGUGUGUGUGUGUGUGUGUGUGUGUGUGUGUGUGUGUGUGUGUGUAUGUGUGUGUGUGUGUGUGUGUGUGUGUGUGUGUGUGUCUGUGUUUGUGUGUGUGUGUGUGUGUGUGUGUGUGUGUGUGUGUGUGUGUGUGUGUGUGUGUGUGUGUGUGUGUGUGUGUGUGUGUGUGUGUGUGUGUGUGUGUGUGUGUGUGUGUGUGUGUGUGUGUGUGUGUGUGUGUUGUUGUGUGUAUGUGUGUGUGUGUAUG
ensembl:lncRNA